ACACACAGCUAGGGGUGCCCACAAACCAAUUGAGCCGUCUACUUUUUUCAAGGCAAUGCGCGUCGUUUUCGAUCAGUACAAAAACGAUGCAACAGCGAAUUGAAUCAAAAGAGAGACUCAAGGGCUGAGACAAACCCUUCGAACCUGACCCGGUUAACACCGGCGUAGGGAAGCUGACCGCAGAUGCG
rnacentral:ncRNA from 1 species